UUUCAUCACGCCCAAUGCUGCCGUGAAAAAUUUCUUUGGUUCUUCCCCAAUCUCGCAGCCUUCCUCCCCGCCGGCCGCCGGCCGCCGCCCCCCGCCCCCGUUGGCUUUCAGCGCCACCAGCACCUCCGCCGCCAUCAACCCUACGCUGCUGCCCCCAAAGGCCCCCCACAACCCAUCUCCUUCCGCCAUCACCCCCGAAAUGCUGUAACCCUAGCUUCGUCGCCGCCACCCAAGCAACGCCGCCGCGGCCCAAGAAACCAGCAUCCCGCGGCCCAAAACCUAGCUGACUCCAGUUCCACCUCCACCCAAAGCUACGCCGUCGUGGCCAGAGACCGGCAGCAGCCUCCAGCAUCCUCGUCCACCAGGAUUACUUAGGCAUGGGCCAUCAGGAAACUCCCUGCUGAUCUGAAGGUUGACUCUGUACGCAGGAGUGUGGAAUUGGUGACCAACUGUAACCAUGUCUGUGGCUGCCGGUGUAAGUGAUGCGGCCAUCGCGGUGCGUGACAAGCUCCGUGGCAAGAUUGGCCAGACUAAGGUCAAGCGGUACUGGCCAGGAAAGGCGCCUGAGUGGGCUGAUGAUGCUGAUGAGGAUAUAGAUCUUCGGACGGCACGGGUCUCCCUUGAUAAGGCAUUCCCAAAGGAUGACGAUGCUGACAUCCCUGCAAAAGAUGACCGCCGGCUUCGGCGUCUCGCACAAACCCGUGAGAAUAAGGAGGAGCUGAGGGCAGAUCAUCGCCGAAUAAGGCAGGCUGAGAUUGUUUCAACUGUUGAGGAGGAGAAUGAGAGGCAGGAAGCUGAUAUCGACGAGGAGGACGAGGAGGCUCAGGAGGAGAGGAGAAGGAGGAUAAGGGAGAGACAGCUCUUAAGGGAGCAGGAGGAGCUACUUCCUCAGGAAGAGGAGGAACCGGUGGAGGAUGAGUCAGAGGAGGAAUCUGAGUAUGAGACGGACUCUGAGGAUGAGCAGUUGGGCAUGGCCAUGGUGAAACCUGUCUUCAUACCAAAGUCACAGAGAGACACCAUUGCAGAGCGUGAACGGCUUGAGGAGGAGGAGCGACAGCUUGAGGAGCUAGUCAAGAAGAGGCUGGAGGCUAGGAAGAUAGAGACUAGACAGAUUGUCGUUGAAGAGAUUAAAAAGGAGGAGCACAUUGAGAAGGCACUGAAUGAAGAGGCCAACAUUGAGGAUAUUGAUACAGAUGAUGAGUUGAAUGAAGCAGAGGAGUACGAGUCAUGGAAGAAUAGAGAAAUAGCAAGAAUUAAGAGGGACAGGGAGGAAAGAGAUGCAAGGUUGAAGGAGAAGGAGGAGAUUGAGAAGGUCAGGAAUAUGACCGAGGAGGAGCGUCAGGAAUGGGAGCGAAAGAAUCCAAAGCAGCUGCGUCAGACCAAACAGAAGUGGAAGUUUAUGCAAAAGUAUUACCACAAAGGUGCUUUCUUCCAGGAAAGUGCUGAUGAUGUUAUUCAGUCAGCUGGUAAAGAUGAUAUCUACAGCCGUGAUUUCUCUGAACCUACUGGGGAAGAUAAGAUGGAUAAGAGCAUCCUGCCCAAGGUCAUGCAAGUUAAACACUUUGGGCGCAGUGGCAGAACGAAGUGGACACAUCUUGUUAAUGAGGAUACUACAGACUGGAAUGCACCAUGGGCCACAAAUGGGCCUCUACGAGCAAAGUAUAAUUCAAAAAUGGCAGGCAUGAAUGCACCUAUUGCUAAACCAAAGGGAAGUAAGAAGCUGAAGGACUGGGAUGCAAAAUAAGAUGCUGGCUUGAUCUGUGUUUCAAAGGCGAGAAGGCGAACCAAGGCGAGCUGGGUAUGCCUGGAUGCCUAGGCGGCAAGGCAUAACCGUUCCCCAAGAUGGUUGUGGUAUUAUGACUCGCGAUGACUGAUGUUCUCUUCAAGAUCGACCCUGAACUAAAUGUGAUGGAAAGGACAAGCGAUUGAGUUGGAGCUGAAGGAGACUACUUUUGUUGAUUUGGAGUUGUAAGUCGAUCCUUUCUAUGCCUGAACAAUGCGACUACGACUGGUGAGUCAAACAAUGUGGCGACACGAGAACUUCCCCACAUGGGUUUGCCACUGUCAACCUAAUUAGGCCCUUUGUAUUAAAUACUUUACCUUGAUCUAUCUAGGUUGCUUGCAGCGGAAAUAUUCGCAGUGUCUGAUCGAUUCAGUGUUGCCCAGCAGCCGUGCUUUUUUUUUUAAUCUUGCUGGGAACAAUAGAAAUAAUGUCCUUAAAAAAAUAGUGAUACUGAAAGCAACGCUUCAUAGUGUUCCUUCGGUGUGUGUUUGUGUGUGUGACUAAUCACCAGCACCAGUGGAUAACUGCCUUUUCAUAUGGACGUUCGAAUGAAGACAUUUUUAUUUUU